GGAGGGUGCAAGCGUUGUCCGGAUUUAUUGGGUUUAAAGGGUGCGUAGGCGGUACAAUAAGUCAGUGGUGAAAGUCUGAGGCUCAACCCUAGAAUUGCCAUUGAAACUGUAGUACUUGAGUACAGAUGAGGUAUGCGGAAUUUAUGGUGUAGCGGUGAAAUGCAUAGAUACCAUAAAGAACACCGAUAGCGAAGGCAGCAUACUAGGCUGUAACUGACACUGAUGCACGAAAGCGUGGGGAGCGAACAGGAUUAGAUACCCUGGUAGUCCACGCUGUAAACGAUGAUCACUCGAUGUAUGCGAUACACAGUAUGCGUCUUAGCGAAAGCGUUAAGUGAUCCACCUGGGGAGUACGUCGGCAACGAUG
rnacentral:rRNA from 1 species